GAUGAACGCUAGCGGGAGGCCUAACACAUGCAAGCCGAGGGGUAUGAUUCUUUCGGGGAUCGGAGACCGGCGCACGGGUGCGUAACGCGUAUGUAACUUACCCCAUUCACUGGGAUAGCUCUUCGAAAGGAGGAUUAAUACCGGAUAACACUAAUGUGGGCAUCCACUUUGGUCGAAAGAUUUAUCGGAAUGGGAUAGACGUGCGUAAGAUUAGCUAGUUGGAGAGGUAACGGCUCACCAAGGCGAUGAUCUGUAGGGGGCCUGAGAGGGUGCCCCCCCACAAUAGUUCAAAGACACGUACAAGACUCCUACGGGAGGCAGCAGUGAGGACUAUUAUACGAUGGGUGAGAUCCUGAAACAGCCAUCCCGAUUGGAGGAAGACGGCACUAUGGGUUGUAAACUUCUUUUGUAUGGGAAUAAACCACUUUACGAGUAAGGUGUUGAAGGUACCAAACGAAUAAGCACCGGCUAACUACGUG
rnacentral:rRNA from 1 species